rnacentral:sRNA from 1 species
UCGAUUGGCACUCAAUCAGCCGACUGAAAUAUUGUAUCUGCCAGAUCUAAAAAUCCCCCGCACACCCAAUGGAAUAAAGCGAAUUCCGUCACGUAAAACGCGAUUGGCACCUGCGUGGUUUGGCAUGGCGUGGCGUGGCGUGGCAAGUCAAUGAAAUCGAUGGAAUCGACUUAAUAUUGGCCCGAAUCGAUAUAGCCGGGCUAAGAGCAAACUAACGGUUAGCGGGCCAUUUCGCAGCCACACCCGAUCCUCAGGUUCGCUGGGGUAAAAAAGGAAAAAAUGAAAACUGGUUAGAUAGCAGGAGGGGGUGAGGGGGAAAACUCGUUGGAUGCUCCACCAAGAUGAUUGACUUCUGCUGUUACACUUUAAGCAGCAGCCAUUGCUGCCGUUGGGUACCAAAUGCACGUGGAUCGGGCAAUUAUAGAGGCGACUCUAUAGGAAAGGAACCUUGUUGAUAAGGCACUGGGAUCGGAGGCAGUGAAUCGGAGUUGGCCAGUUUCCAGACUUGGGGCCAUCGAAGCAUUGUUAUUAGGCGCAUCUUAUCGACAGGAAGCGAUCAUCGCACAUUGGAAUGGCCUCAGCUUCGACUUGGACUUGGACUUCGGUUUCGCAGCAGCACCC